rnacentral:rRNA from 1 species
GCCGCAUGCAGGUAAACGGGUGGCGUCAAGCUGCGAGCCCGGAGGAUUCAGCUGGCUGGGAUGUAGUGUACGCACGCCUGGUGCGUCGAAAGGCCGGAAUAAGAUGUUUCUGUGGCGGUCCACUCUUCUGCUGGGAGUGGAGUGCGAUCGGUGUGCGCUUGCGUGCGCCGGUUGUCGCUAUGUUUGCCGGGUGGGUGCCGGAACAUGCCGCUCGUCUGUUGGGCCACCUAGUCAGUGCAUUUUCUCCGUGGUGAACACCACGACCGGUGGAACUGCCAGUCUGCUGUGGUCAAGUCGUGUCCUCCUGGCGCGUUACUGUGCUCGGUGGGCACGAUCGCAGGCGGAGUCGGUGAGCGGCGCAGUGGUGCUUCGGUACUGCCGCGUGUUAUCGUGCACUCUCCGUUGUAAGCGGUUAGUGGGGUUGACUGAGUGCUGUGACUACUUCCCCAUUAGCCGGCGGAUCGCAGUGGUGAAAGGGACUGUGCAGGGCACCGGAGUUGUCCACCUCAUUCAAUAUGGUACUCGGCACGCACGUUACAGGUGCAAUAGGAGAUGCGCCGCUGUUUGCCUGGUGUUGGGCCUGGCUGUCGUGUUGCCUGCGCAAAGUUGGUCCGGCAGUGGUUUCGAUGCUUGGUAGUCGCAGUGUGUUGCGUGUCUCGGGUGUCUGUGGUACCGGGGGUGAAAUAGUCAGUGGUGCUGUGGUAGACGAGCUACCCGACCCGUCUUGAAACACGGACCAAGGAGUUUAACAUGUGUGCGAGUCAAAGGGUCCUACGAAACCCCUAGGCGCAGUGAAAGUGAAGUUCACGCUGCAUUUCUGCACAUACGCAGUGCAGUGUGGCGAGGUGAGAUCUCGUUGUGCUCAUGACACACGCCGCAGACCUUACUGGGCAUUACUGGGGCAACGAGCGCAUCACCGGCCCGUCCCAUGAUGUGGUCACAGGUCCACUUGUGCGUGGAGUGGCAACACGAAGCGUACAAAGCCUGUGCGUCAUCGGGGCGGAGCAUGAGCACACACGUUGAGACCCGAAAGAUGGUGAACUAUGCUUGCGUAGGUUGAAGCCAGAGGAAACUCUGGUGGAGGACCGUAGCGAUUCUGACGUGCAAAUCGAUCGUCAAACGUG